UGGUGAAUUUUGGACAAUGGGCGCAAGCCUGAUCCAGCCAUGCCGCGUGCAGGAUGAAGGCCUUCGGGUUGUAAACUGCUUUUGUACGGAACGAAAAGUCUCUUUCUAAUAAAGAGGGAUCAUGACGGUACCGUAAGAAUAAGCACCGGCUAACUUCGUGCCAGCAGCCGCGGUAAUACGAAGGGUGCAAGCGUUACUCGGAAUUACUGGGCGUAAAGCGUGAGUAGGUGGUUUCUUAAGUCUGCUGUGAAAGCCCCGGGCUCAACCUGGGAACUGCAUUUGUGACUGCAUAGCUAGAGUACGGUAGAGGGGGAUGGAAUUCCGCGUGUAGCAGUGAAAUGCGUAGAUAUGCGGAGGAACACCGAUGGCGAAGGCAAUCCCCUGGGCCUGCACUGACGCUCAUGCACGAAAGCGGGGGGAUCAAACA
rnacentral:rRNA from 1 species